UUGACCUCAAAUCAGGUAGGACUACCCGCUGAACUUAAGCAUAUCAAUAAGCGGAGGAAAAGAAACUAACAAGGAUUCCCCUAGUAACUGCGAGUGAAGCGGGAAAAGCUCAAAUUUAAAAUCUGGCAGUUUCACUGUCCGAGUUGUAAUCUGGAGAAGCGUUUUCUGCGUCAGACCGUGUACAAGUCUCUUGGAACAGAGCGUCAUAGAGGGUGAGAAUCCCGUCCAUGACACGGACUCCCGAUGCUUUGUGAUACGCUCUCGAAGAGUCGAGUUGUUUGGGAAUGCAGCUCAAAAUGGGUGGUAAGCUCCAUCUAAAGCUAAAUAUUGGCGAGAGACCGAUAGCGAACAAGUACCGUGAGGGAAAGAUGAAAAGCACUUUGGAAAGAGAGUUAAACAGUACGUGAAAUUGUUGAAAGGGAAACGCUUGAAGUCAGUCGCAUCUUACUUGACUCAGCCUUGCUUUGGCUUGGUGUAUUUCAAGUAGGGUGGGUCAACAUCAAUUUUGAUCGGUGGACAAGGGGAAAGGGAAUGUGGCACUCUUUGGGGUGUGUUAUAGCCUUUUCUCAUAUACAUCGGUUGGGAUUGAGGUCCGCAGCAUGCCCUUGUGGCCGGAGGUUUACCUAACGU
rnacentral:rRNA from 1 species